UGUAGUUAUUAUUAUUGUUGUUAUUGAUGUCAUCUUAGGACAGAGAGAAAUGGAGAGAGGAGGGGAAGACAGAGAGGGGGAGAGAAACACAGACACCUGCAGACCUGCUUCACCGCCUGUGAAGCGACUCCCUUGCAGGUGGGGAGCCGGGGGUUCAAACCAGGAUCCUUACACCGGUCCUUGUGCUUUGCGCCACGUGCGCUUAACCCGCUGUGCUACUGCCCGACCCCCAUUUAUUAAAAAAUAUUACAAGGACUGAAAAAUAUGUCAUUGGAUAGUUACCAUGUGAUGACCCAGCCUAGAGUCAGAGUUCCAUCACUUUGGAGGAAGCUUCAGAGUAUCUUUCACUUUAUUUCUUUUUU